CGACGAACAGGCGGUCCGUUCCGGGAUCGAGCGGCUGACCGCGAUCGAGGACGAUGUCUCGGAAAAGGUUCGCGCGCAGUACGAGGAAAAUCCCUAUCCGCGAUGGAGCAGCAUCUCCGCGGAAGUCCAGCCAUUGCCGGUCGAUCAUUAUAUCGGGAUGCGGUUUCCCGGUGUGCCGUACAAGCCGUUCGGACAUCGUGCGCUCGAUGUCCUGGUCGCGGGAUGCGGCACCGGGCAACAUGCGAUCCAGCGCG
rnacentral:misc_RNA from 1 species